rnacentral:antisense_RNA from 1 species
GUUGCUGAGCCGGCUCCAACCGGCUGGAAGGCGGGAAGCUGUUUCGCUCGGAGGCUCGCGCGCUUUUUGGAAUUCAGUUAUCAAGCUUUAGAGCCUGGCUACUCACAGUUGAAGCCUGAUUGCUAGGUUCUUUUAACUCCUCUCCACACCUGCACCGGAGACCACUGGUAACAAUCUGUGGCCAUCAGCUAAACGCUCACCCAGGUUGAUUUGUACAAAUAGCACAAGAGGACACCAACCCCAUGCAGAUGGCAGCCCAGCAGGUCACACCAGUCCUUCUGUCCUCACACUGGCAGACAGAGGCCUCCUCUCUGGAGUCUUCACAGGGGCCUGAGCUAGAGCUGGAAAUGCAGCUGGAGCUGCAGCCAAAGCUGGGGCUGCAGGGCCUUGAUUUGAGACUUGGCCUUGGUCUUGGGUGGGCAGAGGUAAGACCCUUGGCAAUGCAGGCAGGAGCAUGCUUCCCGAGCUUGGGGUAGGCAACGUAGGCAAGUCAGUUGAGCUUCUGGAUGAUGUGCUUUGGGAUUUGGGACUUAACCUCCUUGGCCUUUUUGAGGACCUUGAUAGAC